rnacentral:lncRNA from 1 species
AUCAAGACUCUAUUAGUCUUAUGGGGUCCUAUUUACAAUGCCCUUGUGCUAUGGAAAUUAAUUAAGAUCGCAGUAUACACUGGAAAUGCAAAAAAAAAAAAAAAAAAAAAAAAAGCUAGCAGUUUAGACACUUCUAAAUGUAAAGUUGAACAAGAUUACGAAAAGGUAUCGCCAGUCAUCAAAGUUUAAGCGGGACAUUGUUUGCACAUACAUAUGUAUUUUACUAUUUGUAUAUCUUAGGUGCAAGAGUAAACAGACAUUUUUGCAUGUACAUGUGUACUUUUCUAUUUUUAUAUCUUAGGUGCAAGAGUAAACAGAAAAAUGCUGAUAAGCAAUCUCAAUCCAAAUACUGAAAAGAAAAAUGCUGAUAACAAGAUUUCGAUGAACCCCAUACAAGAUAUGGGAUAGAGGCAUAAUGUAGAACUUAGAAGAAAGAAAUAAGAAUCUCUCAAAGAAGAUGAGAAGAUAGGGUUAGGAACCUAGACGAACGUGAAGCUUGGAAUCCACCAAGUAAAAAGAAGGAAUAGAUGAAUAAUCUAGCAAGAAAACAAGGAUAACUCAAGAAACAAUUCUUCUAUUUAAUUCAAUAAUAAUCAACCUCUAACUAUUACAAUAACCUAGAGCCUUUUUUAUAGAGCAAGAAGUUUGUUUAUCAAGUAAAGGACUUCUAAAUUAAAACAACUACUAAAUACAUAAUGAUUCCUAAUAUAAUAUACUUAGACCUAAAACAAUAUAUUCUAGAACCUAUUUCAUAUUUAGAAUUAAAAUAGUAACUCCUAACAUGUCCUACAUCAAGGCAUCAGGAAGUACUCUACUGUGAGUCAUCCGAAAAAGGACCAUAAGGAGACUUACAUGCUUAUGUUCAAAUGAGAAACAAAUUAUGCUGGUGUCUAAGGGAGAUCCUAAAGGCAGCUACAAGUAAUACAAUAUGAAUAGUAAUAUAAUAAUCGUACCUCCAAAGAAAAAUUAUAUAAUCAUCUUCCUAAAGAGCUAAAUAGGAUGACCUACUUUUUGGCCAAUAAAAGAAAAAUCACGAUAUUAGUUAAAGACAUAUUGUCUACAAUUAAGAUUGCCAAUAAGAUUCAGAUUUAUGGCAGAAAAAGAAAAAAAAACACAGACAAUGCAAUGUAUAGUUUCAUAGAAAUUGAACGAGAAUAAACGUUAUAAGUCUUCUAAAACUGUGUGUGUUCUAAAAACCAGUGUCUU